AACAUAAAAAAAAAAAAAAAAAAAAGGAAUGGAUAAAUUAUUAUUAUUUUUUUUAUCGUGGCGAAACCGGUUGCCAUAUAGUAUACCUUCGGAUUGUAAAGUUUUGAUAGCUUUUCAAGCACUUUUCUAGAAAUGUUGAAAGAUUACAUAGUGAAGCAAAGCAUAUUUACUGAGAGGAAAAACAAGAUCAACUUAAUGGUUAUACAAAAAGAAUAUUGCCUGGAUGAGCAAGUCUACUGUAUCUGCUGUAGCUCAGACGGACCCAUGGACCCACUACUGUGGUGAAUGCAUUCCUUUUUAUUAUGUGUCUUGUAUUAAAUUUUGUCUUUGACAGUAACGUAAGAAGAGGAAAUUGUUGGAAAACCCAUCUUGAAUGAAGCCAAAUAUUCCUAUGUUAAUGUUUGAGAGCCCAGCCUGUGAAAUAAUAAUACCCCCUGUUCUAGCUAGAAAAGGCAAGAAGAAGACAUUGUUCCUUUGCUAUAUCUGGGGACCACCAUAACAGCACAUCACAGCACCAGAAUACAGAAGAGUCCUGUUUUGUACUUUUGACAUAUUGCUUCAAUGGAGUUAGUACGGGAAAACAACACUGACAGGCCAUAGUUAAAAGCUUCUCAAGAUUCUAUGUUUUUACCUCCGUCGCCUUGUCCGUCGCCUUGUCCGUCGUCUUGUCCGUCGCCUUGCCCAUCGCCUUGCCCGUCGUCUCGUUUGUCGCCUUGCCCGUCGUCUUUUCCGCCGCCCAGCCUUUGCUACGCCCGUCACCCCGCCCUGUCUCGUGACCGCCCUGCCUUCAGUUCGCCCGUUGCCCCGUCUUCGCCUCGUGGUCGCCCCAUCACCGCCUCGUAUUUGUGGUAUCGUUGUAUUUUUUAAUGUGUAAUUGUGUAGUAUUAAUUAACCCGUUGGCUGCCACCCACUUUUGAUCCCCUUUUUUUUAAAGCUUGUUAGGGUCCGGCAGCGCUGUUCUGCCCAAUGGUCUAUAUGCCAUGGGUGGGACAGUUGCACAAGCCGUGUGGCUCAAAGUCGAUCGUCGAGGCAAUGCACCAGUAGGGACUUCCCCCUUGUCGAUGUGGUGGUGGUUGCCUGGGGUGUGCAUUCCCAUAACGGCUUCCAUCAUCAUAUCAGCCCGGACUUGUUUUCGGAUAAGUCCCUCUUGGUCGCUAUCCUUUCGAUAGUGAUGUAGCUAGUGUAGAUUUAGUGGCGUGGCAGCCAACGGGUUAGUUUUAUUUAUGUAUGUUUUGUAUUGUGUUGUAUUGUAAAAUCUAAAAAUUUUGUGGUGGAUUUGUGGGUGGAUGGAGGGACAAUAAAUACCUUAUUUUAUUUAUCAAUUUUGAAUGCAUUUUUCAUGUAGGAACUGGGUUGGGGAUCGAACCCUUGACCUCCGGAACCUUAAUCCAAUGCUUUGCCACUGUGCCAUCUUUAACGUGCUGAUAAUAGAAAUUUAUUCCUUAAUAACCUUGUUUGUUGUGCAUAAGUAGAUAUGCCAACAAAUGU